rnacentral:lncRNA from 1 species
AUGCAUUGGAAGUUCACUGUUGUACUUAAAUUCCAAAGUACCACCUAUAGCUGCAGUGAAUCUACUUGAAAGCCAUCUUUAGAAUCAAAAUAUACCUUCAGCAUGUAGUCAAAACCUGAGCUGCUGGGAAGAACGAAUGGUGGGGCACCUUCUAAACCAUUGGUUUUGCAAGACAGACACAUUUUUUAAAUGAUGGAAAUAACUCACCAGAAUGAUGUAGUUGCUGUUGUAUUUUCAAGAGAGCAAGCAGUAUGUUACCAUUUAAGGAGACACAACCAUCAGGAAAAUAAAAGUAGACGUUUCUCUUACUUGUCUACUCGUGGUGUUCAGUGUAAGUGACAAGAGUGAUACAGGUGACGAGGUAACAACCUAGAAAAUAAACUUGGUCCUCUAGCUUUAAAUCUUCACUCAAUCACUGAGUUACUGAGUAGCCACCGAUGAUAAAUUUACUAAUACAUUUUUCAUCUAUCUAAAGAGAAAUAUCUCGUGGGGCCAAAAUAUACAUCCAGUGUAAACUACAAUUUCAAACUAUCUAAAGGCAGAUCUCCAGAGAGAUUUAAUGGAGGAGAGAAGAGCAAGAAGAGAUGGAUGUUUGCAGCAUAUCCCAGAUUCUGUGUUCUUGGAAUGAAGAGGAGAAAAAAACAAGCAAAAGGCCUACUCCCUGCCCUCAGCUACAAUGUAAGCAGCCCCCUCCCACUCUCAAAUCCAUGCCUGGAUGGGAACACCAUGAUGAGGAAGACCCUUCAACUACAAGCAAAAUAAACCUAUCCUUCCUUAAGAUUUUUCUGUCAAAUUUCUUGUCAUAUUUUUGGUAAAAUAAACUAAUGUGAAAGACUG